rnacentral:lncRNA from 1 species
CUACUAAGUACCUAUAUUUCUAACCAAAGGUUUGACCUCUAACAGCUAGACAUGGGUGAAAUUGGAUACCAAGCUUAAUGGGAGAUCUAGAACCUUGCAGUCCUUGGACAACAGAACAAUCACAAGAUGCUGAGGGCAUGCAGCUUGAUGUUUGCAGAGGAGACAGUCUAGCAUUUCCCAGUCUGAUAUGGAACAUCAAAGAUUGCUUGGAUUUGUCUGUAUUCAGACAUUCCUCAUUUUGUCUGAAGUGACUCACCUUUUUUGCCUGGAUGCAUGGACUCAUCAUCUGUAGUACAUAUGCUGGCUCCUGAAUGGCUUUAGCCCUUAGUUCCUCCUGUGAGGAAUUUCACUGUGUGCAUUAAAGUGAAAGGAACACAAUUGAUAUGAAGUCAUAUCUCUGUAAAACGCGUAUGAACAGUUUUAGUUGCAAAUAUGUAAUUGUAUUACUUUCAUGUCCAUAUUCAGGUUGGCUUAACACAAGCUGAUCUUGUCCUAGAACUUCAG